GACGAACGCUGGCGGCGUGCUUAACACAUGCAAGUCGAACGGACAGGCCCUGCUCUUGUGGGGUGCUCGAGUGGCGAACGGGUGAGUAACACGUGAGUAACAUGCCCUUGACUUUGGGAUAACUUCAGGAAACUGGGGCUCAUACCGGAUAGGAGCUCCUGCUGCAUGGUGGGGGUUGGAAAGUUUCGGCGGUUGGGGCUGGACUCGCGGCUUAUCCGCUUGUUGGUGGAGUAGUGGCUUACCAAGGCUUUGACGGGUAGCCGGCCUGAGAGGGUGACCGGCCACAUUGGGACUGAGGUACGGCCCAGAAGCCUACGGGAGGCAGCAGGGGGGAAUAUUGCACAAUGGGCGGAAGCCUGAUGCAGCAACGCCGCGUGCGGGAUGACGGCCUUCGGGUUGUGAACCGCUUUCGCCUGUGACGAAGCGUGAGUGACGGUAAUGGGUAAAGAAGCACCGGCUAACUACGUG
rnacentral:rRNA from 1 species